UGAAAAUGAAACCAAAUUCAAAACAGAAGAAGUAUUUUGGGCAUAUAACUUCUGCCCUACUCCAUAUUCUUGGACUGCACUUCUGGGCCUUAUUUUAUAUCUCGUUUUCUUCGCACCUGGAAUGGGACCAAUGCCUUGGACUGUGAAUUCUGAAAUAUAUCCUCUUUGGGCAAGAAGUACAGGAAAUGCAUGUUCAUCGGGAAUAAAUUGGAUUUUCAAUGUUCUGGUUUCACUGACAUUUUUACACACAGCAGAGUAUCUUACAUAUUAUGGAGCCUUCUUCCUCUAUGCUGGAUUUGCUGCUGUGGGACUCCUUUUCAUCUAUGGCUGUCUUCCUGAGACCAAAGGGAAAAAAUUAGAGGAAAUUGAAUCACUCUUUGACAACAGGCUCUGUACAUGUGGCGCUACUGAUUCUGAUGAAGGGAGAUAUAUUGAAUAUAUUAGGGUAAAGGGAAGUAACUAUCAUCUUUCUGACAAUGAUGCU